rnacentral:rRNA from 1 species
GACGAACGCUGGCGGCGUGCUUAACACAUGCAAGUCGAACGGAAAGGCCCUGCUUUUGUGGGGUGCUCGAGUGGCGAACGGGUGAGUAACACGUGAGUAACCUGCCCUUGACUUUGGGAUAACUUCAGGAAACUGGGGCUAAUACCGGAUAGGAGCUCCUGCUGCAUGGUGGGGGUUGGAAAGUUUCGGCGGUUGGGGAUGGACUCGCGGCUUAUCAGCUUGUUGGUGGGGUAGUGGCUUACCAAGGCUUUGACGGGUAGCCGGCCUGAGAGGGCGACCGGCCACAUUGGGACUGAGAUACGGCCCAGACUCCUACAGGAGGCAGCAGUGGGGAAUAUUGCACAAUGGGCGGAAGCCUGAUGCAGCAACGCCGCGUGCGGGAUGACGGCCUUCGGGUUGUAAACCGCUUUCGCCUGUGACGAAGCGUGAGUGACGGUAAUGGGUAAAGAAGCACCGGCUAACUACGUG